UCAGGUCUUCAUCUUUGUUGUUGAAUCAUGAUUUUUGGUAUAUGAUCUCUGCAAACAGCUCUAACGAUAAAUGAUCAGUUUCACCAAACACAGAAAUAUUUCAACCAAGCUCAAAUUACAUGUUUGAAUGGACCAGCUUAGAGUUCGCUAUAUCAAGUGGGACAUUUGCUUCAAGUCUUGAUGCAUCGUCGCAACUGAUGGCCAAUCUUCUGGACGGUCGCAGUACACUUCUGAGCAAAAAUUCGGUCACAAUGCUGAAAUAAUGCCGCUGUAAAAAAUGAUCUUUCUUACAAUGGUAAAUUUUUUUAACUAUUUCUAAUUAACAAUGUAUUGAGGUGCAGUAAAAAAAACAAUGUAUUGAGGUCCCCCAUUGGAUUUCUUAAAUUGAAUUGGAUUUGUUAUUAUGUGAUCCAAUCAAACUUAUCUACAUGUGUCUUAUAGAGUACAAGAUGUCGCUGAGUUGCUAGGCAUGAUGGUCGAAGAUCAUAAGCUCAUCCAGCCAAAUGUGAAGACCCAUGCGUAAGACACAUUAUUUAUAUUUUUCUUUUACAAAUUGGCCAUUUUAGCAUAUUGAAUGUCAAAUAAUCUAAAUUCAUUGGUAUAUAAUUUGAAAUUUUUAUUGGAUGUAUUCUUUAGUAUUUGUAGCUUAAGAUAUGUUAUACACAACCUCAUCCAAGAAGUAGAAAAAUUCAAGUGAACUUUAAUCUUAUAGGCCUUAGGUAUGGUCUGUAUAUGCUUCUUAUGGGUCCUAAAGAGUUAUAUAAAGGCUGACAUGAUUAACAUGCUUUUAUUUAUGUACUUUAAAUCUCAAAAUUAUACACUCUGUAUAUGCUUAAUUUACUUUGAUGUCACAAACUCAACUAUAUUUCUUUAAACCAAAACAGACAGACAUAAAUGACCCACUUGAUUAUCCGUUGAUCAUUGACACCAUUGAGGGUAGAACUUUAGUAGCAAAAGUUAAGUGGCAGCCUAAAUGGGAAAUGCAUCUGUUAAUGAUGUUCAUGAGGGUAAAACCUUCAUUGAAGAUAUUAAAGGUCAAAUUCAGGAAUCCAAAUCAGUUGUUCAAGUUCUAUCUCCUGUUGUUGAGAUGAGAUUGACCCUGAUCACGUGUCAUUAAAGACACCUUCUAACAAAACUGGAGCUUCUCUUAUUUCUCAUUCUCAAAGUGAUGAAGUUGAAGAUGUCAUUGAUUCGAAGUUAUCUUCCACCAAAAUUAUGAAGUGCCCAAAAAAGGAGUAAACCAACCUGACCAACUAUUUUUAAGCUUUGAUUUUCUAUGUUUCAAUCGGUGGUUUCUUAUAUGAAUCACUUAGAAUGUUGCUUUAAGUAUGGUUGUUCUUAAAACAAAAAUACACUUUUGGUGUGCUUAAAAUCUGUUAUUAUGUCUUAAUUGUGUUCCAGUACUUUAACACAAUUUGAGUUCUUUAUGUCUUAAAACCUAUAAUGUUCAAUAUAAUGCAAUCUCUACCAUCUUAUCUACUACCAUGUUUAUUUUUAAUGCAACUUACAUACAAAUGAGGUUACCAUGUUUAUUGGAAGAUUAUAAAA